rnacentral:rRNA from 1 species
UACGAGGGGGGCGAGCGUUGUUCGGAAUUACUGGGCGUAAAGCGUGCGUAGGUGGUUUGUUAAGUCUGAUGUGAAAGCCCUGGGCUCAACCUGGGAAUUGCAUUGGAUACUGGCAGGCUAGAGUGCGGUAGAGGGUAGUGGAAUUCCCGGUGUAGCAGUGAAAUGCGUAGAGAUCGGGAGGAACAUCCGUGGCGAAGGCGACUACCUGGACCAGCACUGACACUGAGGCACGAAAGCGUGGGGAGCAAACAGG